UCCGUAGGUGAACCUGCGGAAGGAUCAUUACAGUAGUCGCCCGGGUUGCCGCAAGGCCUCCCGGGUAACCUACCACCCUUUGUUUAUUACACUUUGUUGCUUUGGCAAGCCUGCCCUCGGGCUGCUGGCUCCGGCCGGCGAGCGCUUGCCAGAGGACCUAAACUCUGUUUGUCUAUAUUGUCUGAGUACUAUAUAAUAGUUAAAACUUUCAACAACGGAUCUCUUGGUUCUGGCAUCGAUGAAGAACGCAGCGAAAUGCGAUAAGUAAUGUGAAUUGCAGAAUUCAGUGAAUCAUCGAAUCUUUGAACGCACCUUGCGCUCCCUGGUAUUCCGGGGAGCAUGUCUGUUUGAGUGUCAUGAACUCUUCAACCCACCAGUUUCUUGUAAACUGAAUGGUGUUUGGUUUCUGAGCGUUGCUCGUCCUCUGUGACUGAGCUCGUUCGUAAUAUAUGAGCAUCUCUAAUUCGAAUUCGGAUUGACUCAGUGUAAUAGACUAUUCGCUGAGGACACACACCUAGUGUGGCCGAACAAGAUAAUUGUAGAAGCUUCUAACCCUUCUAGUCAUUUUAAGAUUAGACCUCAGAUCAGAUAGGACUACCCGCUGAACUUAAGCAUAUCAAUAAGCGGAGGAA
rnacentral:rRNA from 1 species